CAAUAAGCGGAGGAAAAGAAACUAACAAGGAUUCCCCUAGUAACUGCGAGUGAAGCGGGAAAAGCUCAAAUUUAAAAUCUGGCGGUCUCCGGCCGUCCGAGUUGUAAUCUAGAGAAGUGUUAUCCGCGCUGGACCGUGUACAAGUCUCCUGGAAUGGAGCGUCGUAGAGGGUGAGAAUCCCGUCUUUGACACGGACUGCCAGGGCUUUGUGAUGCGCUCUCAAAGAGUCGAGUUGUUUGGGAAUGCAGCUCAAAAUGGGUGGUAAAUUCCAUCUAAAGCUAAAUAUUGGCGAGAGACCGAUAGCGAACAAGUACCGUGAGGGAAAGAUGAAAAGAACUUUGGAAAGAGAGUUAAACAGUACGUGAAAUUGCUGAAAGGGAAACGCUUGAAGUCAGUCGCGUUGGCCGGGGAUCAACCUUGCUUUUGCUGGGUGUACUUUCCGGUCGACGGGUCAGCAUCAAUUUUGACUGUUGGAUAAAGUUCAGGGGAAUGUGGCAUCUUCGGAUGUGUUAUAGCCCUUGGUCGCAUACAACGAUUGGGAUUGAGGAACUCAGCACGCCGCAAGGCCGGGUACUUGUACCACGUUCGUGCUUAGGAUGCUGGCAUAAUGGCUUUAAUCGACCCGUCUUGAAACACGGACCAAGGAGUCUAACAUGCCUGCGAGUGUUUGGGUGGAAAACCCGGGCGCGUAAUGAAAGUGAAAGUUGAGAUCCCUGUCGCGGGGAGCAUCGACGCCCGGACCAGACCUUUUGUGACGGAUCCGCGGUAGAGCAUGUAUGUUGGGACCCGAAAGAUGGUGAACUAUGCCUGAAUAGGGUGAAGCCAGAGGAAACUCUGGUGGAGGCUCGUAGCGAUUCUGACGUGCAAAUCGAUCGUCAAAUUUGGGUAUAGGGGCGAAAGACUAAUCGAACCAUCUAGUAGCUGGUUCCUGC
rnacentral:sRNA from 1 species